rnacentral:lncRNA from 1 species
GGCGGCGAAACGAAGUGUGUCUUCUGGAACUUCAGGCUUGCCAACAACACAGGGGGGUGGGACAGCAGUGGGUGCUAUGUAGAAGAAGGUGAUGGGGACAAUGUCACCUGUAUCUGUGACCACCUAACAUCAUUCUCCAUCCUCAUGUCCCCUGACUCCCCAGAUCCUAGUUCUCUCCUGGGAAUACUCCUGGAUAUUAUUUCUUAUGUUGGGGUGGGCUUUUCCAUCUUGAGCUUGGCAGCCUGUCUAGUUGUGGAAGCUGUGGUGUGGAAAUCGGUGACCAAGAACCGGACUUCUUAUAUGCGCCACACCUGCAUAGUGAAUAUCGCUGCCUCCCUUCU